CUUUUACCUGGAAUUAAACAAAAUUGCAAUUAUUAAUCCCAAUAGUUUGAGAUUUGUCUUAGAUAUUCAAGAAAGAUCUGUUUAAGGAUGGGUGCUACAUUAUUUGGGGUAACUGCAUGAUUCAUAUGUAUUGCUUUAUCAAAAGCCAGGCUACAAAGACCAGGUCUAUUCAAUAAGACUUCACAAUGAGCAUGCUUUGUCUCUUCUCCAUUGAGACCUCUAGUGGUUGGUUAAAAUAUG